rnacentral:rRNA from 1 species
GGCGAACGCUGGCGGCGUGCUUAACACAUGCAAGCCGAACGGAAAGGCCUCUUUCGGGGGGUGCUGGGGUGGCGAACGGGUAAGUAACACGGGAGUAGCGUGGCCUUGACUUUGGGAUAACUUCCGGAAACUGGGGCUAAUACCGGAUAGGAGCUCCUGCUGCAUGGUGUGGGUUGGAAAGUAUCGGCGGUUGGGGAUGGACUCGCGGCGUAUCAGCUUGUUGGUGUGGUCGUGGCUGACGAAGGCUUUGACGGGUAGCCGGCCUGAGAGGGUGACCGGCCUCAUCGAGUCUGAGAAACGGCCCAGAGUCCUACGGGGGACAGCAGGGGCGAAUAUUGCACAAUGGGAGGAAGACUGAUGCAGCAACGCCGUGUGCGCGAUGACGGCAUUCGGGUUGUAAAACGCUUUGGCUCGUGACGUGGCAUUGUGUGACGGUAGCGGGUAAAGAAGGAGCGGCUAAAAACGGA